UGGGCUGGCCAAUUCACUUAGUAUGCCAUACUGUGUCUAAGAUUUUUAAAUUCUUUUGCUGUGGAUAUGACCAUAAAGAAAAAUUCCCAUUAGGUUUUCCAUAUGCUACUUAACUAGCAGUUAACCUGCUGGGAACAUUU
ensembl:snoRNA LOC120097588 small nucleolar RNA SNORA32